AGUGAACGCUGGCGGUAGGCCUAACACAUGCAAGUCGAACGGCAGCACAGUAAGAGCUUGCUCUUACGGGUGGCGAGUGGCGGACGGGUGAGGAAUACAUCGGAAUCUACUUUUUCGUGGGGGAUAACGUAGGGAAACUUACGCUAAUACCGCAUACGACCUACGGGUGAAAGCAGGGGUUCUUCGGACCUUUCGCGAUUGAAUGAGCUGAUGUCGGAUUAGCUAGUUGGCGGGGUAAAGGCCCACCAAGGCGACGAUCCGUAGCUGGUCUGAGAGGAUGAUCAGCCACACUGGAACUGAGACACGGUCCAGACUCCUACGGGAGGCAGCAGUGGGGAAUAUUGGACAAUGGGCGCAAGCCUGAUCCAGCCAUACCGCGUGGGUGAAGAAGGCCUUCGGGUUGUAAAGCCCUUUUGUUGGGAAAGAAAAGCAGCAGGUUAAUACCCCGCUGUUCUGACGGUACCCAAAGAAUAAGCACCGGCUAACUUCGUG
rnacentral:rRNA from 1 species